rnacentral:rRNA from 1 species
UACGUAGGGUGCGAGCGUUAAUCGGAAUUACUGGGCGUAAAGCGUGCGCAGGCGGUUCGUUAUGUCCGAUGUGAAAGCCCCGAGCUCAACUUGGGAAUGGCAUUGGAGACUGGCGGGCUGGAGUGUGGCAGAGGGGGGGUGGGAAUUCCACGUGUAGCAGUGAAAUGCGUAGAGAUGUGGAGGAACACCGAUGGCGAAGGCAGCCCCCCCUGGGGCCAACACUGACGCUCAGGCACGAAAAGCGUGGGGGAGCAAACAGG